GAUGAACGCUGGCGGCGUGCCUAAUACAUGCAAGUCGAGCGAACGGACGAGAAGCUUGCUUCUCUGAUGUUAGCGGCGGACGGGUGAGUAACACGUGGAUAACCUACCUAUAAGACUGGGAUAACUUCGGGAAACCGGAGCUAAUACCGGAUAAUAUUUUGAACCGCAUGGUUCAAAAGUAAAAGACGGUCUUGCUGUCACUUAUAGAUGGAUCCGCGCUGCAUUAGCUAGUUGGUAAGGUAACGGCUUACCAAGGCAACGAUGCAUAGCCGACCUGAAAGGGUGGUCGGCCACACUGGAACUGAGACACGGUCCAGACUCCUACGGGAGGCAGCAGUAGGGAAUCUUCCGCAAUGGGGGAAAGCCUGACGGAGCAACGCCGCGUGAGUGAUGAAGGUCUUCGGAUCGUAAAACUCUGUUAUUAGGGAAGAACAUAUGUGUAAGUAACUGUGCACAUCUUGACGGUACCUAAUCAGAAAGCCACGGCUAACUACGUG
rnacentral:rRNA from 1 species